AGAGUUUGAUCAUGGCUCAGAUUGAACGCUGGCGGCAGGCCUAACACAUGCAAGUCGAGCGGUAGCACAGAGAGCUUGCUCUCGGGUGACGAGCGGCGGACGGGUGAGUAAUGUCUGGGAAACUGCCUGAUGGAGGGGGAUAACUACUGGAAACGGUAGCUAAUACCGCAUAAUGUCGCAAGACCAAAGUGGGGGACCUUCGGGCCUCAUGCCAUCAGAUGUGCCCAGAUGGGAUUAGCUAGUAGGUGAGGUAACGGCUCACCUAGGCGACGAUCCCUAGCUGGUCUGAGAGGAUGACCAGCCACACUGGAACUGAGACACGGUCCAGACUCCUACGGGAGGCAGCAGUGGGGAAUAUUGCACAAUGGGCGCAAGCCUGAUGCAGCCAUGCCGCGUGUGUGAAGAAGGCCUUCGGGUUGUAAAGCACUUUCAGCGGGGAGGAAGGCGAUAAGGUUAAUAACCUUGUCGAUUGACGUUACCCGCAGAAGAAGCACCGGCUAACUCCGUGCCAGCAGCCGCGGUAAUACGGAGGGUGCAAGCGUUAAUCGGAAUUACUGGGCGUAAAGCGCACGCAGGCGGUCUGUCAAGUCGGAUGUGAAAUCCCCGGGCUCAACCUGGGAACUGCAUUCGAAACUGGCAGGCUAGAGUCUUGUAGAGGGGGGUAGAAUUCCAGGUGUAGCGGUGAAAUGCGUAGAGAUCUGGAGGAAUACCGGUGGCGAAGGCGGCCCCCUGGACAAAGACUGACGCUCAGGUGCGAAAGCGUGGGGAGCAAACAGGAUUAGAUACCCUGGUAGUCCACGCCGUAAACGAUGUCGAUUUGGAGGUUGUGCCCUUGAGGCGUGGCUUCCGGAGCUAACGCGUUAAAUCGACCGCCUGGGGAGUACGGCCGCAAGGUUAAAACUCAAAUGAAUUGACGGGGGCCCGCACAAGCGGUGGAGCAUGUGGUUUAAUUCGAUGCAACGCGAAGAACCUUACCUGGUCUUGACAUCCACAGAACUUAGCAGAGAUGCUUUGGUGCCUUCGGGAACUGUGAGACAGGUGCUGCAUGGCUGUCGUCAGCUCGUGUUGUGAAAUGUUGGGUUAAGUCCCGCAACGAGCGCAACCCUUAUCCUUUGUUGCCAGCGGUUCGGCCGGGAACUCAAAGGAGACUGCCAGUGAUAAACUGGAGGAAGGUGGGGAUGACGUCAAGUCAUCAUGGCCCUUACGACCAGGGCUACACACGUGCUACAAUGGCAUAUACAAAGAGAAGCGACCUCGCGAGAGCAAGCGGACCUCAUAAAGUAUGUCGUAGUCCGGAUUGGAGUCUGCAACUCGACUCCAUGAAGUCGGAAUCGCUAGUAAUCGUAGAUCAGAAUGCUACGGUGAAUACGUUCCCGGGCCUUGUACACACCGCCCGUCACACCAUGGGAGUGGGUUGCAAAAGAAGUAGGUAGCUUAACCUUCGGGAGGGCGCUUACCACUUUGUGAUUCAUGACUGGGGUGAAGUCGUAACAAGGUAACCGUAGGGGAACCUGCGGUUGGAUCACCU
rnacentral:rRNA from 2 species